UACAGGGGGCGCGAGCGUUGCUCGGAAUCACUGGGCGUAAAGCGUACGCAGGCGGAUCGAUAAGUCCGUUGUGAAAUCCCGGGGCUCAACCCCGGAAAUGCGAUGGAGACUGCCGAUCUUGAGUACGGGAGAGGGGAGCGGAAUUCCUGGUGUAGAGGUGAAAUUCGUAGAUAUCAGGAGGAACACCGAUGGCGAAGGCAGGUCUCUGGGCCAUAACUGACGCUGAGGAGCGAAAGCGUGGGGAGCGAACAGG
rnacentral:rRNA from 1 species